rnacentral:rRNA from 1 species
UACGUAGGGGGCGAGCGUUGUCCGGAGUUACUGGGCGUAAAGCGCACGUAGGCGGUCUUUUAAGUCGGGGGUGAAAUCCUGGAGCUCAACUCCAGAACUGCCUUCGAUACUGGAAGACUUGAGUCCGGGAGAGGUGAGUGGAACUGCGAGUGUAGAGGUGAAAUUCGUAGAUAUUCGCAAGAACACCAGUGGCGAAGGCGGCUCACUGGCCCGGUACUGACGCUGAGGUGCGAAAGCGUGGGGAGCAAACAGG